GGAUGUGAGGGCAACCUGGCUGCGACGUCUGUCACCCCAUCGAUCACCAGGGUUGAUUUGGCUGAUCUGGCUGGCUGAACGAGUGUCCCCGUCCUCCCUCACUGCUCCGUGUGCAUCCCUCCCCGGGCUGCGCACUCGGUCAAACAGGACGACCUUCCCUGAUAGAGGAGACCGGUUCUUCCGUCUGCGCUCCCCUGCUAGAACCUCCAAACAAACUCCCAGGGGCUACGGCAGAGGCCAGCCUGGGCUGAGCGCAGCAUAAAAGGAAACGGCUUGUGUUUUUGAAGUAGCCUCCAGGGAAGAGCCUGUUUGAAC
rfam:Camelus ferus unplaced genomic scaffold scaffold2653, whole genome shotgun sequence.